UCCAUCUCAAGCUUUCUUAGCGCCCACCAACGCCAACCCCUCAGCGGGAGGCGGAGCCCCGUGAGCCCCUUCCUUCCGGUUCUGGAAUGCUAUUUAGGUCUUGUGACAGAAACCAUGGUAACUGAGUUCCCUAGGGCACAUGCAGUCCUGAGGCAGCAUUUAGCAGUCUUACUCUACCUCCGGCUCCAAGGACGUUCUUUCCAUUGCUUUGCUGCUGUGCUGUCUAAACCUUGGAGAGGGAAGCCUGGUGGAGCUGAGGUCACAUUCAGGGCUGAACACUCAGGCACUGUCAGCAGUUUGGUAGCCGGCCUGUGAGUGACUUCUAAAAGCCACGCAUUCACUACAAGUUCUGAUUUCAACCCCAUGGUACAGUUAGCCAUAGACCUCACGUCCUCGGGAGACCUCACACCUCAAUGCUUUAGUUACCAUGAGAUCCUACUGCCCUCGUCGGAUGCUCGAUGCGCUUCCAGUUCAGAGCCAAGGAUAUAAAGGUCUGUGUCAGAAUAAUGGUGAAUCUGCCAGAAUGAGUGCAAGCCAAACACCCCAUUUCUUGGUGCUACAACCCGAAUAAAACAUAUUAGCCGUUC
rnacentral:lncRNA from 1 species